UAAUGGACUUCAUCUUCUGUUUGGCCGAUAAAGGAUGAGAAAUUGUUAUUCUCAAAAGUGCAGUGGACUCAGAGUCCCCAAGCAUGCUUUGCAGACAGGAGUGGACUUGAGUCUGCCCAGAUUUCGCCAAGACACUUUCCGGUUAAUCCAUGUAGCUUCAGUUCCUUUGUGAGGUCAUUUUUGGCAGAGCGGGAACGCUUGAUGUCAAGCAGCAGUCGGGACAGAAGAGUUUACUGUUGCUCUGAAACCUUCCUCAUGGCAUGAAGGUCUUUGAAUGGAAAGAAUUACCUGAUUGACUCCAUCAAAAGUAUCUACCAGUAAGUCCAUUCAUUUAAAAAAAUACUAUCCAUGUCCAA